GAUGAACGCUGGCGGCGUGCCUAAUACAUGCAAGUCGAGCGAACAGACGAGGAGCUUGCUCCUCUGACGUUAGCGGCGGACGGGUGAGUAACACGUGGAUAACCUACCUAUAAGACUGGGAUAACUUCGGGAAACCGGAGCUAAUACCGGAUAAUAUAUUGAACCGCAUGGUUCAAUAGUGAAAGACGGUUUUGCUGUCACUUAUAGAUGGAUCCGCGCCGCAUUAGCUAGUUGGUAAGGUAACGGCUUACCAAGGCGACGAUGCGUAGCCGACCUGAGAGGGUGAUCGGCCACCCUGGAACUGAGACACGGUCCAGACUCCUACGGGAGGCAGCAGUAGGUAAUCUUCCGCAAUGGGCGAAAGCCUGACGGAGCAACGCCGCGUGAGUGAUGACGGUCUUCGGAUCGUAAAACUCUGUUAUUAGGGAAGAACAAAUGUGUAAGUAACUAUGCACGUCUUGACGGUACCUAAUCAGAAAGCCACGGCUAACUACGUG
rnacentral:rRNA from 1 species